GAGUGAACGCUGGCGGUAGGCCUAACACAUGCAAGUCGAACGGCAGCACAGUAAGAGCUUGCUCUUACGGGUGGCGAGUGGCGGACGGGUGAGGAAUACAUCGGAAUCUACUUUUUCGUGGGGGAUAACGUAGGGAAACUUACGCUAAUACCGCAUACGACCUACGGGUGAAAGCAGGGGAUCUUCGGACCUUGCGCGAUUGAAUGAGCCGAUGUCGGAUUAGCUAGUUGGCGGGGUAAAGGCCCACCAAGGCGACGAUCCGUAGCUGGUCUGAGAGGAUGAUUAGCCACACUGGAACUGAGACACGGUCCAGACUCCUACGGGAGGCAGCAGUGGGGAAUAUUGGACAAUGGGCGCAAGCCUGAUCCAGCCAUACCGCGUGGGUGAAGAAGGCCUUCGGGUUGUAAAGCCCUUUUGUUGGGAAAGAAAAGCAGCAGGUUAAUACCCCGCUGUUCUGACGGUACCCAAAGAAUAAGCACCGGCUAACUUCGUG
rnacentral:rRNA from 1 species